UCACUGGUGAUGCAUUAGGCCGGAUGUCAAAGUACACCCUCCCCCCCCUCUACACUCGCCAGGUGUAAGAAAGGAUAAAGAUAGAGAGACACAGUAAUGCAGGGCAGUUCUAUCUCUGAGGGCGACCUGUCAACGUACGUAAGAUGAAUUUCCGCCUCGUUAUUGUGACGAUGAUCUUGGCAGCGAUGAUGACGAAUCUGGUUGUGGCAACACCGCUCUUUGGGUUCCGCACCAGGGAGGAUGGGCGCUGGUCCAGGAGACGCGGUCCCUGGCGGCCCCAUCACGAUGAUCGCUACUGGAAUGACUUCGACAUCUACGGCUACACAAGGAAUGGAUAAUGCUCGGAUAAUGCAGAACAAGGUCACGUCAGGCCACACAGCUUGAUUUAAGAUCAGGCGGUCCGACAUCUGUAUCCCAACAGUAUGAGUAAAUUGAUAAAAAAA